UAUGGCUGUGCUCUAUGGCCAGAGAGCAGAAAGCUACAGCCUGUGCAUGUGACUUAUCUGUGGGCGCUGGCCCUACAAGAGAUCCCCCCCCCUUCAUAGGUGCCUCCUCUCUGAGCUGGCCUCAUGCGCAUGCAUUUGGAACUCAGCUCCGAUGCUGAAGUCAUACCCUUGAGAAAUAUCCCCCAACACUACUGUAGUCAGACUAAAAAAUGAGUCCUAGGAUGAACAGAUCAGAAUCCCGGAGAUACCUGAAUACCUGCACUGGCUCUCAGCACAUACCCUGCACCAGCGUAUGUGCACCUGUCAGAGAGGGGGGAUUAGUAAGUGUAAGGUAGUAAGCAAGAACAUUACCAAGAGUAGUUUGCCCUGUGAGAACAUGUGGACAUGAAGUACCACUGCCCAUGGUACUUUAAUCACCAGUAAGCAUACCUGGAUGACCCUGCAUUUGUAGCUGUCACAUUCACGGUGAUUCUAGGUGCAGGACCAAGGAUCUGACUAUUUUUAUUAUGUCUUCUCCUGUAGAUUUGCCAGAGUACUUUAAAUAUUAAAAUGCAUAUUCAUUUUAUUAUGAAUUACUUUUAUUCUUCCUGUAUAUUAACGACAGCAGUACAGUGAUUUAACAGUCUUGUACAUAGAUUAUUUGACUCUGAAAUUUAUUUCACGAUGUUAAAAGCACUGUGUAAUAUUUGCUAUAGUAGCAAGUGAUUAGAUAUUUAUGGUCAGCUAAAAUAAAAAUGAAUAAUUAGUUUUUAUUACAUUAGACUAAUUCUCUCAAUAAUUUGAACCCUAUCUCUUGUAUUGUUGUACAGAGCAAAGAAUACUUGUUUUAUUUUCCAUUAUGUUUGUUCCACAAAUACUGUUUGUCUAUGAUGUUAUUCACUGUGAAAUAACUAAGAGGAAGGGGAUCUUCUAAUUAAAAUACUAUACUGAAUAUUCAUCCUUGAUUUCUCACUUAGAAAUCACUUUAGAAAUGAACUGUAGCCAAUUUCAAGGCAGUAACGGCAGCACAAAUGGUCAAAAGGAUUAGAAACCCUAAAUAUGAAGGAUGAGACUAUAAAUCAUAUGAGAAAGAUCAAAUUGCUGAAAUGUAUCAUUUGUUUUCCCCAAAGACUACAUAUUUAAGAAAAGUGUCUUAUAAUGGAACAGACAUAGAAGAAAGUUAUAUUCAUAUAAUAGCUUUUAGAAAUUUAACAAAAAAUGAUUGAAAAGGUACUGAAAGUAGAAUGCUCAAAGAACAGAAUAGGAUCUCUGUCAUGUACACUGCUUUUAUUUCUCCCUGUCCUAACUCCAACCCCAAUGUUUCUUACAAGUUAGCUUUGUCCAAAACCCUCAGUAUUUGAUCUCAGGGCUUAGGAUUGUUUUUGAGGGGGGUUGAAGAUGGGGAAAAAUGAUGCCAAAGUAUGCUAGUAAAUUAGCACCCCAAAUCCUGAUGUUUAUUUUUGCAGAUGUAAACUACUCUGAAGUUGUGUUUCAUUUUAUGUAGCAGUUGUCUUAAGAAGUUCCAUGUGAAUAAAAUUUUGGUUUGUUUUGCUGUUGGAGACAUAACCCAUGUCAAGGACAAGCACAAGCUCUAUCACUGAGUGGCACCCCCAGCCCUAUAAGUAGAAUAUUUUUAAAUGAAGUAGUUUAUUUACCUUUUUCAUGAUUCCCUUCAUAGAAAGAAUAAUUUUAAGAAAGCAAAUCUUCAUUCUUCGAUGGUGCAAACACACACACACACACACA